rnacentral:rRNA from 1 species
GACGAACGCUGGCGGCGUGCCUAAUACAUGCAAGUCGAGCGGACGGAUGGGAGCUUGCUCCCAGACCGUCAGCGGCGGACGGGUGAGUAACACGUGGGCAACCUGCCUGUAAGACUGGGAUAACUCCGGGAAACCGGGGCUAAUACCGGAUAACUCUUUCCCUCACAUGAGGGAAAGCUGAAAGAUGGCAUCUCGCUAUCACUUACAGAUGGGCCCGCGGCGCAUUAGCUAGUUGGUGAGGUAACGGCUCACCAAGGCGACGAUGCGUAGCCGACCUGAGAGGGUGAUCGGCCACACUGGGACUGAGACACGGCCCAGACUCCUACGGGAGGCAGCAGUAGGGAAUCUUCCGCAAUGGACGAAAGUCUGACGGAGCAACGCCGCGUGAGUGAUGAAGGUUUUCGGAUCGUAAAACUCUGUUGUCAGGGAAGAACAAGUACCGGAGUAACUGCCGGUACCAUGACGGUACCUGACCAGAAAGCCACGGCUAACUACGUG